GGACUACCCGGGUAUCUAAUCCUGUUUGCUCCCCACGCUGUCGCGCCUCAGCGUCAGCUACUGCCCAGCAGGCCGCCUUCGCCACCGGUGUUCUUCCGGAUCUCUACGCAUUCCACCGCUACACCCGGAAUUCCACCUGCCUCUACAGUGCUCAAGCACGGGAGUAUCGACGGCCGACUCGGGGUUGAGCCCCAAGCUUUCACCGUUGACUACCCGCGCCGCCUACGCGCCCUUUACGCCCAGUGAUUCCGGACAACGCUCGCACCCUCCGUAUUACCGCGGCGGCUGGCAC
rnacentral:rRNA from 1 species